rnacentral:rRNA from 1 species
AGAGUUUGAUCCUGGCUCAGGAUGAACGUUGGCGGCGUGGAUUAGGCAUGCAAGUCGUGCGGUAAGGCUCCUUCGGGAGUACACGAGCGGCGAAAGGGAGAGUAACGCGUGGAUUAUCUACCCUCGGGUCGGGAAUAGCGGCGGGAAACUGCCGGUAAUGCCCGAUGACGUCUCCGGACCAAAGCUCCGGCGCCCGAGGAGGAGUCCGCGUCCUAUUAGCUUGUUGGUGGGGUAAAGGCCUACCAAGGCUACGAUGGGUACCGGGCGUGAGAGCGUGGCCCGGCUCACUGGGACUGAGACACUGCCCAGACACCUACGGGUGGCAGCAGUGGGGAAUAUUGCACAAUAGGCGCAAGCCUGAUGCAGCCAUGCCGCGUGUGUGAAGAAGGCUCUAGGGUCGUAAAGCACUUUCAGCGAGGAGGAAAGGUUGUAAGUUAAUACCUUGCAGCUGUGACGUUACUCGCAGAAGAAGCACCGGCUAACUCCGUGCCAGCAGCCGCGGUAAUACAC